rnacentral:lncRNA from 1 species
AUGAUGCCAAAGAAAAGUUUGUCAAGACAAGAAGUAGCUAUUCAAUACCUCAAUACUCAAAGCAUCGUGCAGCCCACCACAGCCAUUUGUGGACCAAAGAAGUCAGCAGGGCUGGGUAAAAAAGCAAUUCCAUGUAACAAUGAAUGUGAUAUUAAAUAUGUAGUGAAGAAAUUAAUACACAGUUCUAAUUUUUGUCAUUCAGAAUCAAGAGUUGAAAGUAGCAAAAGCUGCUCCCCUAUUCGAUGCCACUACCUCUCUCAACUUCAAAGGUAUCACCUCAUCUUGACUCCCCAGAACCACGGAGCUUCUAGUCCAAUGCAAAUGUUUUUUUAGCCCCCUCACACACAUCCAUUUCUUUCAGGUUGCUCACAUUUGUCCUCUCUGCUCUUUAACCCGCCUAACCGCAAACCGUGUGUGCAGAGCUUUGCUUUCUCUCUGC